UACGUAGGGUGCAAGCGUUAAUCGGAAUUACUGGGCGUAAAGCGUGCGCAGGCGGUUCGGAAGGAGAGGUGUGAAAUCCCAGGGCUUAACCUUGGAACUGCACUUUUAACUACCGGGCUAGAGUACGUCAGAGGGGGGUAGAAUUCCACGUGUAGCAGUGAAAUGCGUAGAGAUGUGGAGGAAUACCGAUGGCGAAGGCAGCCCCCUGGGAUGAUACUGACGCUCAUGCACGAAAGCGUGGGGAGCAAACAGG
rnacentral:rRNA from 1 species